UUUGACAUUGGAUUAUUUCAGGCACCGGUCGCUGUGGAGGCGACUCGAGCCUCUCUCUCUCUCGCUCACAUUUAUGUCUGCGUCCCAUUACCCGAAACGCGUGUUUGUUGUUUUUCUCCAACAAGGAGCCCACUGACAGCUGGUGAACAUGGGAGGUAACGGCAGCACGUCCAGGAAAGUCUCGUUCGGACUCGACGAGAAUGAGAAGGUCACCGUAAUGGAAGGAGUGAAGCUCUCAAAUGAUGUGCUCCGGCGGAUGAGGGACUCUCAGGGGACUGAUGGCGCCAAGCCACACAAACCACCACCAAGUCCAAAACCAACAGGGCCCUCCUCUACAGAAGUCCAGGAAGAAUUCCGCAAAAACUUUGAGCGUCAUCAGGCUCUGGUGCAGGAGCAGUUGGCCAGACUGGCUCAGAAAGAGAGAGAGACGGCAGGAACCCAGGGCCUGGGUGAGCUGACCCCUGCCCUUCUCAUGGAGAAAGGAAAAGCCCACGAGGAGCAAGAAAAAGCAAAGAUUCUGCCAGCCGAUGUGGAUGCCUGGGAAAAACAGCUGAGCAGGAAAGAAAAUGAACUGGCCAGCAUAUCCAGCUUCUACAAAGAGCAGCUAGAAAUACUGGAGAAAAAGAACUUUGACAACUACAAACAGACGUCAGAACAGUACAACGAGGCGGCAACUAGAGCAGAGGCCCACAUCCGACCUCGACAGACGGCGUCUGUGUGCACCGAGCUGCAGGCCAAGGUGCUGCAGGGCUACAGAGAGAAUCCACAGCAGACCCUGCACUGCUCCGGCCUGGCCUGACAGUACAUGACCUGUGUCCAGCAGGCCAAGAAGAGCCAAAUGCAACCCGUUCUCCCUGCGGCCCGGGGCUCCAUCUCACAUUGUCAUCAGGAGGAGGUCACACUCUAAUGUGUGAACAUCGGCCCCUCUGCCUGGUCCUGAAAGGCAGAUGAAACUUUCUGCUUGGACAAGGCCACAAAGAUUUGCCCGGCGGACUUUUUUUACAAGUCUCUCGCUGCAGUGUCCAGGUGGGACGGUGGCGCAUCGGCUGAAGCAGGCGUCUUCUUAGCCGAGCGCUAGCAGGAGGCCUGUGUUCCUGUGGGCGCCAGAUGCUGCUGAGUCAUCGUGUACAAGCUGAACAGUACGAGUCUUCAGCCCGAGACGCACAAGAAGCAAAGAAGUACACCCGCGCACAUUCACGACGACGUCUGAUUUGCUGGAUUCUAAUAAGAGUUUUACCGUGGAGGAGCUUCAGGUUCAGUGUGUGUGUGUAUGUGUGUGGGGGGGGGGUGGGUGGUCUGAGGCACAUAAAGGAAUAUUUUACAUGUAACUGCUGCAGCCACACUCCAGCUCCCUCCGUCCGCUGUGCAGUUUGUUGAAACAGCAGCAUGAGACCACAGUCGCUGACGGAUGCUUUCUCCACCCUAUCAGCUUCCUCCUUAGUCCGCGGCGCCUGAUCACACCUACACUGAGUUUAAAACAUUCUGGACAGUAAUGGAUCGCCGCGCUGAAAGACCAAUUACCGUCGCCAUCCAUCAAAACCUCCCCUUCUUUUUUUUUUUUUCACACGGCAACCGCGCAUGUUUUUAUGAAGUUUAAGAAAUUCACUUGCAAAUUGGCUUCACUUUGAUGAUGAUAAUAACAAUGAUGUCGGUGUGGUGCAUCCACAUGUUGUACCCCACGCACACCGUAUGCGUGUUUUUAUCCUUUCAAAUGUGGGACGCCGUGUCUGGUAGAGAAACUAAAACGGUUGUGCGCCAAGCAGAGAAGGAAUUGCCGCACAGAAGGAGUAAUAUAAAGAAAGCGAGCAAGUGAGAGUAACAGUAAACAGGCGAAUGAUCGAUGAGCGCCUGACGUGACUCAGCUCUCGGGUGUCGGCCAGCAUUUCCAUGACCAGCGAGCCGCCUACGCGACGAAGACAAACGACCCGGCAAUGAGGGAAAAUGAGGGUUUUAUCACCCGUUUCCCUCUCACACCGUUGCUGGCCGACGCUCCCCAAACUGCUUGUGUGUGUGUGUGUGUGUGUGUGUGUGUGUGUGUGUGUGUGUGUGUGUGUGUGAAGUUAACCAAAUGUGUGUCCCGUCUUCCUGAAAGGCUGGCUUGUGGUCAUGCGCUGGCCCGAGGGAGCAGUUUAGAGAAAUCACUCACUCAGCUGGAGACUUGUGGAGAAAUGCCUAAAGGUCUUAAACAGCUGUACGUUACCUGGGAUCCUAUGCGCGUAUAUAUAUGUGUGUGUGUGUGUGUCUGUGUGUGUGUGCAAGGGAGUGUGUUUAAAAGGACAUUUAUCUCAUCACGGAUAUAAUUACACUGCCCCGGGAUAGAGGGGAGUUAUACAGUUCUCCCUCCUCUCUCUCUCGAGCCCCUCUAUCCCUCCCUUUCACCCUCACUCUUCCUCUCGUACCUUCCCUUCAUUAUCCAGGCAAGGAAAGACGAUCCGCCUCCACCUUCUUCGGAAGUCAUUAUGGGAUUAGCUCAUUCCCAGAGUAUGGAUCUCUUUCCUUGGAGGCCUUGGAGGGGGCUCCCCUGUUCCUCGCUUCCCCAGACCCGGCUUACUCCAGCCGGGGUAAUCAACCAGCAGCACCCCUUCCUCCGGCCAGGAGCUCCGCCUCGGGGGAAAUCACUUCUCGCCUCACUUCAUCCAAAGUUUAAACCGUCCCCACAUUAUACCAAAUCCUUCUAGAGGGUUAAUAUAGUGAAAGGAGGUUUGUAAAAAAAAAAGACAAGCAUUGGUGUUUUUAUUUUAACAUUGAGCAAGCGAGCGCUGCUGUAAUAACGCCGUCGUCGCAGACCUGACAGGAACCGUCGCCUGGAGGGGGCAGUGUAAAAUCAUCACUUCCUGUUUGUGAAUCCCAAGGCGCCAUUGGGCUGUUGGGUAAUGACACCUGCCAACAUGGCAACAACUCUCACUUACUCCGAGGGCAAGAUUAAGAGUUGAAAGCGAACCAGUUUGUUCAGGAGGGAGAGGUUGAUUGAAGAGGCUUUGGAGGGUUUAUAACGCUCCUCGCCUCAACCGACACAUGCAGCACAACGGCGACUGUAGAUGUCACAGCCUGGACGAACUAAAAGAAGGCGCUGCAGGUUUUUGAAUCUGUUGUGUCGGACAAUGUGUCUUUUGAUGGACUAUUUGAAGAAUUUCUCAGGCCACCAGGCAACACUUGAGCGUGCGGUGUAGAGAAAUCCCGUUCAGUGGGCCCUUUCCAUUCUCUUCUGUCCACACAAUUGUGCAUCUGUCUUCAGCCUUGCUCUGGGGCAUAACAACCAUGUGUUGGUGCCACACACAUGCACGCACACACACACACAGACACUCACGCACUCCCAUACACACAGCGUUAUCUUCAGAGUCACAAGUUCGGGUUUUUCUAACUUGGGCCAUGUGGCAGCCUCCUGUUACAAAGAAGCCACACAUAUUUUCGGGGCAGGCCGGACAUUUAUCCAGCAUAAUGUGAUUGUGCUGACAUGACCUCGCUCUCAGAGGCGACGGGUCAUUGUGGGCCACAUGGUUUGGGGUCGGCCCUGUUUUACUCACAGCGGGGCUGCCUCUCUGUUCACAUGUCGGCCGUCAGGAGAGCCACGCAGGUCACCAGGGACGACUCCUGGUUUAAGUGCUGCUGCUUCUGCUUUCUUCCCCCUUGUUAGUUUUGUGUCUUUACGUCACUGCCCUGUACUUUAUCUGAAAAUCCGUAUGGAUAACACUGCCUUUAAAGCCACCAUUCAGAUUAGCAUCAAAUGGUGAAAUGAGUCUGAGGUCAUACUGUUUUGUUUAAAGGCAAAUGUAUAGUGAAAACCUGCCAUUAUGUACCUUUCUUUCUCAGUGGGACCACAUUUUAAACAAACUCCUGACAUAACAUCACCGUUUUAGUUAUAAAUAACAUAUUCUCACAUAACAAGUCAUCUCCUCGGUGUUACAAAAGGUCAAGCUUGUGAUGCAGCCACAGAGUCUGUGCAAAACAUAAAGAAGGAUUCAUUAAAGGAUAUUUAAAUAAAGUACUGUAUUCAAGUUGAAAAACAAAAUGUCAGCAUGUUAUCCAAUUGAAUUACCCAUGUGUAAUAUCAUCAACAGCAUUAAACAAACUGACUGACCUUCAUCAAACCUAAUCUCAACAAAAUGCACCACUUUGUCUCCUACAAAAUGUCCUCCCGAUCAGCUCUCAAUGUCGAUUACAAUUUGUCAUCCAUCAAAAACAAACAUAAUCUGGGAGGAAAUGCGUUUUAAUUUUAACUUACAUAUUAUCGUUUCACCUUUCUCUAUCGGACCCUUCACUACCUUUCCCGUCCCCAUCUCUCUCUUUGCUCUCUUCCCUGUUAUCCCCUCUCCCCCCAGCCCCUUUCUCACAGAUCUCCAGAGAUACAGCUCAUUCUGACCGAGUGUUACGACUCUUUUGACCACAAAUGUCUCACGAGUGACAGCCUGUGAGAGGAGAAAAUUCAAGUGAGAUUGCUGUUUAAGAUUGGCCAUGGGAGACAGAGGAGCCAAUCUGUGCUGGCACAGAGUUUAAAUAUUCCACCUAGAUUUAGCCGCUGUGACACAGCUGCGAGACGAGAAGCAACACUCAACCACAAAAGCAAUUUCCUACAGCGGAGAUGUCUCUGUUGAGGAGCAGACACAGACUUUUGGCUUAACUGCUGGUUGAGGGAGUAGGAAUAUGUCGCUCUCAAAGGCGUACGCGCUCCAGCACCAGACACGCGAGGCCCAUCCCGCAGCCUGUGCAUUGUCGUUGUUUACCGGAGAGACCGAGAGAUCACUGGAUCACUCCACCUUUCAGUCGCUCCUCCUCCUCUUCACCCCCCUCCGCUGCGCUCUCCUUUCCUCUGCUCGCCGCUGUGGUGGGUUCAGUUCUUGACAAGGCCCCACAUCCUGCUAGUUGCUAAAUGAAUAAUACAUGCAUGUUCUAGCAGCUCUGGUAGACGGAGGGUGAGAGAGAGAGCGAGAGAGAGAGAGAGGAAGGGAGCCGAUGAGAGAUGCUGUGUGUGUUGGUGUGUGUGUGUGUGUGUGUUGAGGCCCCUUAUGGAAAGGCCAAAGCUGUCACAGAACUUUAGAUCCAGUCUAUAUGCGGCGUGUACAAGAUGAGAUGUCUGCAUUCGACACUCUUCUGACUAAUCCUCUCCUCUUUCUCUUAGUUCUCCAGCAGAGAUGGAAACUAGAGUUGUUGGUGCAAUUUAUAUAUAACAAUCGAAUAGAGGAUGAAUGAUUGGAAACGUAGUUCCAGUUCGAUUCGAUUUUCAACACUGUGUGUGUGUGUGUGUGUGUGUGUGUGUGUGUGUGUGUGUGUGUGUGUGUGCGUAAGCAACAUAGCAGUCUCACCAUUUAUUCAAAGCCCCACUAGUUCCCUUUAACCCAGCAGAACGAGGGCUGCCCUACAUUUUAUCAGCUGCUCUCGUUCCGUUUUGACGCAGAUCAAAGCCGCGUGCCAGCCGCCAGCGGAGCACGCAUGCAUUAUCAAUCACGUCUGUGGCUUUUUGUUGUACAGAAAGAAAUUUGCAGAACACAGAUCAAAAGAAUAAAGGUCAUCAAAGGCAAAAUCAUUUUCCGGAUGCAGGGUAGUAGUUCUACACAUACACAAAGGCAAGGGACACAAACAAAUCCAAAAGAUAUUCGCUGCAGUACGCGUAGUUCUGGGUGUGUGUGCACGAUAAAUAAAUAAAUAAGAAUGAACAAUGACA